UGUCGGCAAAAAUUCAAAUAUACACAGACGCACAGAUUGCAGCUUCAAAUUCCCCACAAGGCGCAGAGGCUAUAGUCUACACCGCCUAAAAUAGCCUAAGUUAGGUAUGGGGAAAACUGCUCCUAGCUUUACAGGCUUUACCUUUACCAACUGUUUUGAGAUAAAUUAGACAUAGUUAGUAGGCUACAGAACACAUUCAGUCACAAUAUCAGCUUGUAGCCCUGUUGGAUUUGUUACAAUUUCAACUCUAGAUCAUUGGCCAUGGCAUCACUUCGACGAAAGCAGAUUCGUUCACAUGCAGAUGAUGAAGAGUUUCUCUCAACAGUCCAAAGCUUGCAUUUUGAAAUUUGCAAACUGCAGAUGGAAAACAGGGAACUUGGUGAAAGAAGCACACAGCUGGAUCAGCAGCCGUUAAGAAAGGCAAGAAGACCUGCGGACAGCCCCCAUGAGAAUAUCAGUCGUCCCAUGUUUCAGUCUCCACAGUUUCGAACACAGACGAACCUGUUCCUGGCUUCAAUAGGUGUAGAAGAAUCUUCACAGCGUUUGCGGGACGCCCUGAGUCGCCUGCGCUGGAAACUGGUGCGCGAUGAUUCCGAUGAGUCUUCGUCAGAAGAGGAAGAUGAGGAAGAGGCGGAAGAGGAGGAGACGGUGGCAGUGGCGGUGGCGGAGGUGACCAGUCAGGAGACGGAAGUGGUAGGGGACCUACAGGAGGCGCCCAAAGAUGCCGAAGCACAGCCGGGAUCUGAUCACGAGGCAGCAGCAGAGAAAAGUCAAAGGAAGAUCAACGGUUGCUUCGCUGCUUUGUGGGGAUGUACCAGGGAAUAGAUAGGGGUCUGGAGGCCCCACAGCAGCACAUGACAGUGCAUGCAUUUCCACAGGACAUCACACCUUGAUGGGGGGGAGGGACACGUCACAACAGACUGGGUGGACAUAAAGACAGUUGGGAGGAGGAUUAGGGCAGAAAAACUGCAGACUAAGGGAGCAGUGAGCUGUCUAAGAGCUGAUCUUUUGCUGGGAAAGGAAACAGAAGAGGGCACACAUGUAGACUUCAAAGAACAACACAACCAUAACUCACUCCAUGCCAUAUUCACAUGGUACAGAUUGAGGGCUUGACAUGUGUAGUGCAUCAUGUUGCCAUGAUGCACCAUGACCAGAUUUCUGUCCCUAAUAAUAUAAAUACAUUUUAUCAUAAUAAACCACCUGAUAAAUCA